GUCUACGGCCAUGCCACCCUGAACAAGCCCUAUCCCAUCUGAUCCCUGAAGCUAAGCAGGGUCGGACCUGGUUAGUACUUGGAUGGGAGACCACCUAGGAAGACCAGGUGCUGUAGGCA
rnacentral:rRNA from 1 species